rnacentral:rRNA from 1 species
UACGUAGGGUGCAAGCGUUGUCCGGAAUUAUUGGGCGUAAAGAGCUCGUAGGCGGUUUGUUGCGUCGGCUGUGAAAUCUCGAGGCUCAACCUCGGGUCUGCAGUCGAUACGAGCAAACUAGAGUGUUGCAGGGGAGACUGGAAUUCCUGGUGUAGCGGUGAAAUGCGCAGAUAUCAGGAGGAACACCGAUGGCGAAGGCAGAUCUCUGGGCCGUAACUGACGCUGAGGAGCGAAAGCAUGGGGAGCGAACAGG